GACGAACCGUGCGAACGUUAUUCGGAAUCACUGGGCUUAAAGGGCGCGUAGGCGGGUUGCCAAGUCGGAGGUGAAAUCCUGCAGCUCAACUGCAGAAGUGCCCCCGAUACUGGCAGCCUCGAGUGAGGUAGGGGCAUGUGGAACUUCCGGUGGAGCGGUGAAAUGCGUAGAUAUCUGGAGGAACACCGGUGGCGAAGGCGGCAUCCUGGACCAACACUGACGCUGAGGAGCGAAAGCCAGGGGAGCAAACGGG
rnacentral:rRNA from 1 species